rnacentral:lncRNA from 10 species
ACAAAACAACAAAAACCGUGGGAGCUCAAUUCACUAUGCCAAAAGGAAAAAAUUAAGCAAAAAGCUGAGUCAUGCAAGAAACUGCCUUUCUCUAUGUCCCUAAGCAGAUAGCUACAGAUAAAAGGUUAAAUGUCCCCACAGGUAGCUGCUCUGUCCUCACCUUAUCUUACUGAAGUGCUGAUUUACACAGCAGGAGGCAAAUACAUAAUUGACUAUUCCCCUGCCUGUUCCUUUUUCUAUUUGUGCAAUGUGUGGAUUCAGUAAUGACCAUGUUCUCCCUCUUUCCCCUCCAGCCCGCUCCUCCCUUUUAAAUAUUGAAGCCCUCAAAAUCAUCUUUAGAUAAAGGCACAGACCUCCCUCCCAAGCAUGUCCUUAACCUUGGCAAAAUAAACUUCCAAAUUGAUUGAGAGCUGGUUUUGGUUUACAAGCUGGCAGCCAAAGGAAGUGACUCAGUGGAGGUGGCCCUGACCUUUGACAAAUCUAUCAGUGCUUGGUACCAGCUUGGGCUAUUUUUAUUGCUCAAACAGGACAAUUUGCUGAGGCCUGGGAGCACCCCACUCCAGAGAAUCCCUGAUGUCCCAAAAUUUGGUUGAGAUCUAAAGUUUAUUUUGCUGUACACCUCUUUGUCUGCAGUUUUACUUACUCCCAACAAAGAAGGUGCGUUUUCCUGCCUCCAUGACGAUGGAGGGGAGGCAACUCCUUUCUGGAAUUUCAUCUGGCUUCCAGCAGGGAAGGUAAGGAAGCAUGACAGUUGCCCUGACGGCUCCCUGUACCACAUUCAUCACAGCAGAACCUCGUAAUGAAGCUGGAUUUGAGGGCAACACACCCCCUUUAUUGGCUACACACACACUAUCAAGACAAUUCAACUUAGCUACAUUAUACAAAAGUUCCUGCCAGACCUUGGACCUUAACUUGCUUCUGACACAGACUUUGCUAGAAGCUUCCAGAGCAGGGCUGAGCACCUACAGAUGACUGGAGAACACCAAAGGCAGGCCAGGUGGGAAUGGAUGGCGGGAAAAGCCCUGUGAAUCUCAAGGCACCACACAGGGCACAGAGGGAGACCCCAGGUAACAUGCACAUGGUCAAAAAAUGGAACAAUAUGAACAAGAUAGUAAGCAAAGUCUUACUGCAAUGCCCUUCCAGUUUGCCCCAGUACCAGCCCUGCCUCCUCCAGAUUUCACAUUUCAAGAAAAUCCUAGCACUCACCGGUCGGUAGUAAAAAUGUACCCCACGUGAUCCUUACAGCUUAACAGCAGGACACUGAAGGCUACAGCAAAGAGCACUGAAGGUAAAAACGGCAGAAGAAACAACACAGUGAACAAGAAGAUCCACAGGAAGUGGAGGAGCCUGGGUUUUGCAUGCAGAGACUGCACCAAGAGCCUCGGGUAAAGGGGUCUCAGCACCUGUAAUCAGCAGGGAAACGGUAGAGGACUUCCGUGCCUGCUCCAUGUCUCCAGCACCCAGAGCGUUUCCUACCCGGACACUGGCAGCCACACUGAAGCCUGCAGGGACCUAAAAUAAAAAGGAAACCUGCAACAAUGAGUGAGAAACUGCAGAGCGAGAACACGUGCAGAGAAGCAGCCUCAUGCCUCACACCUGGUGGGAAAACUUGGUCCUAAAAGUUUUGAAAAGACUGAUUUGCAACAUCCCCUUUGUCUAGCCGGGAACUCCCACGCUACUGUGGAAACUGAGCCCCAGGUUACGAUGCUUAGCACAAACUGGGCUUUGCUGCAGAGCUUCCAACCUCUGCGACAUGAGGGUGCUGCACAACCAUGUUCCUCCUCUGGGUGUCGGGGGAUGGACUGACUCACCAGGAGCCCAGGUUUUGUCUGUUUUUUUUUUGUUUUUGUUUUUAAAUAGGGACAGAGGUCAGGCGUGGUGGCUCAUGCCUGUAAUCCCAGCACUUUGGGAGGCCGAGGCAGGUGGAUCACUUGCGGUCAGGAGUUUGAGACCAGCCUGGCCAACAUGGUGAAACCCCAUCUCUAUUAAAAAAUACAAAACUUAGCUGGGCGUGGUGGUGCACGCCUGUAAUCCCAGCUACUCAGCAGGCUGAGGCAGGAGAAUCGCUUGAACCUGGGAGGCGGAGGUUGCAGUGAGCUGCGAUAGUGCCACUACAUUCCAGCCUGUGCGACAGAGUGAAACUCCUUCUCAAAAUAAAUAAAUAAAAUAAAAUAAAUAGGGACAGGGUCUCACUCUGUCCCUCAGGCUGGAGUGCAGUGGCACAAUCAUAGUUCACUACAGCCUCGACCUCCUGGGCUCAAACGAUCCUGCAACCUCAGCCUCUCAAGUAGCUGGGAUCACAGGCAUGCGCCUCCACACAUGGCAUAGUGUCUGUUCUGAAAGACCAUCAAGGGAUCCAGCUUAGAAGACAGGAGUGGCACUAAAGGAACUGCAGGGAAACAACCCUGUAUUGUGGUUAGGGAUCAGGAUUCUGAAGCCAGAUUGCUUGGGCUCAAAUCCCAGCACAGCCACUUUAUCAGCUGCAUCACCCUGAGCAAGUUACUUACCCUCUCAAAACCUCCAGAGUUUUAUCUGUAAAAGGAGUUGAAUCAUAGAACCUAUCUCAUUGGGCUAUUGUGGGAACUUAAUGAGUCCAUACAUGCUAACUGCUUAGAAGAAGCAUGUAGGAAUUGCUCAAUAAAGAUUUACCAUUACUAUUAUUUAUAAAGUUACCACUUGAAAAAUUAAUAUUAAUAAGGAAAAAGGAGUCAUCACUUGUUGAAACAUGAACAUUGCCUUAGGAUCAGGAUGACUAUGGACCAGCUUAAAGAAAAUCUGAUACACAGAUUGAGAAAUAAAAAAGUAAUAGAAGACUGAGUCUCUGCCUAUAAAUUCACAAGUAGGGACAAACAGAGAUCGCCUGACAAAUUAUUUAUUCAUUACAAAGGGAAAGGUAGUAACUUGACAGGAGAAACCUGGCAGGUACCACCUUAACCAAGCAAUCAAAGUUAAUACUGGCAGGGUGCAAUGGCUGUGCCUGUAAUCCCAGCACUUUGGAAGGCCAAGGUGGAAUGAUUGCUUGAGCCCAGGAGUUUGAGACCAGCCUGGGCAACAUAACAAGACCAAAUUUUUUUUAAAAAUUAGCUGGGAGUGGUGGUGCAUGCCUGUAGUCCCAGCUACUCAGGAGGCUGAGGUGGGAGGAUUGCUUGAGUCCAGGAGGUCAAGACUGUAGUAAGCCAAGAUCAGGCCGCUGUCACCAGAACAAGACACUGUCUUAAAAAAAAAAAAAUAAGUAAAAUAAAAACAACCACCAACAAGUAAAAAGUAGUAUCACCAACACUGAGACAGAUCAACAUCAUGUGCCUCCUGAUAUGGUGCACUAAGAAGGACACAGCAUCACUUCUCUAGCUUUCCUGCCCAAAACGGACAAUCUAAAUUUAUUUAUAAGGAAACAUCAGCUGCACCACACUGAGUGAACUUCUACAGAUAACGGCCUAUGUUCUUCAAAAAUGCCAAGGUCAAGAAAGACGAAGGAACAAUGAAGAUCUGUUCCAGAUUAAAGGACACUAAAGAGAUAUGACGCUAGGGGAAAAUUAGUGAUAAGGGACAUUACCAGAACAAUUGGUAUUGUUUUGAAUUGACUGUAUUGAUAUAGUAUUUGAACAUGGACUGUGUAGAUAGACCAGACAGAAUAAAUGUGACAAAACUGGUGAACCUGAGGAAAGGGCAUACAUCUUUCUUUUGAUUAAGAAAUACAAGUGUAAAUUCUUACAAGCCUAUUGGAAAGCAUAUGGAAAUAUAUUCAAAAGACAUAAAAUCGUA